rnacentral:rRNA from 1 species
UCAUUAACAAUAAUCUUUUGUAUUUCAAAUUUUCAGCAAUGGAUGUCUUGGCUCGCGCAACGAUGAAGGACGCAGCGAAAU